rnacentral:piRNA from 1 species
UGGGAUGCCGUUUCUUCGUGUCUGCACCA